CAAACUGUAGUUUUCUUUUAACUUGUUUCCUGCGACGCUUUGAUUUGGUUCGUGCAUUUGAAAGGAAAUCCAUUCUCUAAUUGAUUGUUGUGUAUUUUGAAAUUGAGCUGCCGAACGGUUUACUCAGGGCCUGAUUACUAUUUAUAUUAGAGUUGCAAUUGUUUCCUGUUGGGCCAUCAAGUCAUGCGGGGCAGACUCUCACUCAGCACAUGAAACUUUCAAGAGAUCUGGUUGGGGAAAGACGUUUCAUUGCCGUUCUUGUUCCCUUUGAGCGCUGCCUCUUUGUAAUCUGAGUCUUACAGGCCAUGUAAUUUAGGCUGUAGUCUCCUAAAAGAUUAAUUAUUGUAAUCCUGGCUUGUUUUUAGUGAGUGGGAGCAAUCGUGUUGGCAUCAAUCAUCAGGUUAAUUGCUUAAAUGCUUGAAAGUGUAAAAAUAUGAAAUAAACAGCAGUAGUGUUUGUGAAAUGUUGCUUUUUUAAGAGUUUUAUAUAUAAACUAAAGAACAAACAGCGAAAUCAGCCCUUGGCAUUACUCAGCAGAAUCUGUACAUCCUGAUGGGCAGACAGGUGGCAGCAGAGAGCCACAACACCCCCAGCUCCACUGCUGCACAAUUAAAAUGUACAUGUCUGUUAUUCCUUGUCAGUUCCAUCUUAGUGUCAUUUGUCAGGAUGUCCAGACGGUGAAACAUCACUAGAACUAAGCAGACAUGACCCUUGACAACAGAGAAAUGCAUCAUGAUCUGCACAAUACUCGCUCAAGAGUGUUGUAUCAAUUACAGCUGACCGCCAGUCAGGUGGGUCUGCGGGACAUUUUAGAACACAGAGGGGCAGCCAGAUUGUUCUGUGCCUCCAGCCUGCUCCCAGACUUCAGCCCGGGUCCCGCUGAGGGCCUUGUCCCGGACAGUGCAGAGAGACACCUGGCCAAACCGCAGAAACACUUCCAGCUGCAGACUGCCUGAUGCUUACCACAGAGAGAAUUCAGGCCAAAGAUUUUCCCAUAAGGCUGUGGGAGGAGAGGAAGAGGACCACCUAUUAAAGUGAAAUCUUAGGAGUGAUGGAUGGGAGCUUGUUGAGGGGGAGCAGAGGGGCUUGCUCACACCCCAGGGGAGGAGGAUGAUGAACAGGGAGGGGAGGGGGAGUUCGGCUCACACCUCUCACAGAGGGAGGGGAUGGAGACCUCCCAUGCUGUGUGACUUCAACAUUACAUUGACUUCAUCCCCAAAAGUACUUUCAACUUUUGCCUGUUUUCCCUAAAAUCUUCGGCUUUCAUCUCAGAUUUUAUGGCUGAAAAAUACGUUCCUCCAGGGAAUUCUAAAUUGGUAUAAAUGACUUACUUCAGUAGUAGCUGUUAGUUAUGUUUUUUUUCUAUUUUGUAAGUGAGCGAAUCUAAAAGAAAAAGCAAAAAUAAAAAGGAGACUUUUGUUCUUUAGAGAUAAGUAGUUUUUUUAGUUGCAUUGUAAUAUUUUUUUGGAAAUGCAUAAUUUCCAGACAUUUUUUUUACACGUAUUUGUGCACAAAUACUUCUGUCUAAUACAUUAAAUGUUGCUAACCAGUAAGAUCACAGUGGUGGAUAGUUCUAUAAAUGCCCAAAACCCCCAAAAAUGUAAUAAAUAAAUACAAACCAUUUAAUUAAUCAGUUAAAUUUGUUUAUCUACCAUGGAAACGAAAUUAUCUGUCUUUUAAUUAAAUAUAGAUACAUUUUUUUACAAAUAAACACAUUUUUUAUUAUUAUAUAAACAUUUAUUUUCUAAUCCUGCUCAAUUUUUUUAAGGAUCAUGAGGCUGCUGGAGCCUAUCCCUAGUGUCAGGUGAAAUCGGGGUAAAGCCAGUAUGGUUCUAUAUAUUAUAUUUUUGGAUAAUUUAUGAUAUUCUAUUAAUCAAUUAAUACAUAACAAACUCAAAAAGUUUGGUGAUAUUAAUUUGUGAUUAUUUCCUUCUUUUUCAAGCAAUUAAUUAUUAUUUUUGUAAACUUAACAUUUAAUGAAUUCAAUAUGUCAUGUAUUGAAUAUAUAUAUGAAAAAUGUGUUUAUUUAUGAUUAAAAAUUAUUAAAACGGCAUCAUUUACACGUGUAUGUGGAUGCAUUUAUUAUAAUAUGUAUUUAUAUUUCUUUUUAAUUUGUAUUUUUUUUUAUUUUUCUGUCGAGUCACAAUCUUUUAGAGUUUGAUAUACAUAUAUAUAUUUAUGUAAACGACUAUUUUAAUAGUCGACUAAUCACCAAUUAUUUUUUAUGAUUAGUCGACUAAUUGAGUCAUGCGCAAACUGGAU